CACCAGCGCCACGAGUGGCCACCGCGAUUAUUGGGCCUAAAGCGUCCGUAGUCGGGCUUGUGCAUCUUCUGUGAAAUCGCUGCGCUUAACGUAGCGGCAUGCGGAAGACACGGCAAGCCUUGAGACUGGAAGGCGUCAGGGGUACUCCGGGGGGACCGGUAAAAUGGUAUAAUCCCCGGAAGACCACCUGUGGCGAAGGCGCCUGACGAGUACAGAUCUGACGAUGAGGGACGAAAGCCAGGGGAGCAAACCGG
rnacentral:rRNA from 1 species